rnacentral:rRNA from 1 species
UACAGAGGUCUCAAGCGUUGUUCGGAUACAUUGGGCGUAAAGGGUGCGUAGGCGGCGCGGUAAGUCGGGUGUGAAAUUUCGAGGCUUAACUUCGAAACUGCAUUCGAUACUGCCGUGCUCGAGGACUGGAGAGGAGACUGGAAUUUACGGUGUAGCGGUGAAAUGCGUAGAUAUCGUAAGGAAGACCAGUGGCGAAGGCGGGUCUCUGGACAGUUCCUGACGCUGAGGCACGAAGGCCAGGGGAGCAAACGGG